UUUGUGGUAACACAGUGUGCUUUGUGGUAACACAGGGUGCUGUGUGGUAACACGUAAGGUGCUUUGUGGUAACACAGGGUGCUGUGUGGUAACACGUAAGGUGCUUUGUGGUAACACAGGGUGUUGUGUGGUAACACGUAAGGUGCUUUGUGGUAACACAGGGUGCUUUGUGGUAACAUGUAAGGUGCUGUGUGGUAAAACGUAAGGUGCUUUGUGGUAACACAGGGUGCUGUGUGGUAACACGUAAGGUGCUUUGUGGUAACACAGGGUGCUGUGUGGUAACACAGGGUGCUGUGUGGUAACACAGUGUUGUACGGUAUCAUAUAGGGUGUUGUGUAGUAUCACAUAGUGUUAUGUAAUAUCACAUAGUGUUUUGUGUGAUACCACAUACAGUGCUGGUGUAACACUGCUCUUAUGAUGCUGGGUGUAUCUCGUUUAAUAAUCUAAGAUUGUGAAGAUGCUAUUAACACGUUAUGGAUGUGUACGAGGUAUCGUAACUUUACGAUGAAAUUUCGAAGAUGUCAUGAAAAGCGCACGAGCGAGUUGUCGUUUUCGUAGCGUAUAGCUGAAGGAAUGUUCCAAGACGCAACUUCUGCCAUUGUUGCUGGUUUGAAUUUAUUGUUAACUGCUGGGUUAAUGUACUGCUAGGAAAUAAAUUUUGUAAAAUGCGU